rnacentral:rRNA from 1 species
AUUGAACGCUGGCGGCAUGCUUUACACAUGCAAGUCGAACGGUAACAGGUCUUCGGAUGCUGACGAGUGGCGAACGGGUGAGUAGUGUAUCGGAACGUGCCCAGUGGUGGGGGAUAACUACUCGAAAGAGUGGCUAAUACCGCAUGAGAACUGAGGUUGAAAGCGGGGGACCUUCGGGCCUCGCGCUACUGGAGCGGCCGAUAUCAGAUUAGGUAGUUGGUGGGGUAAAGGCCUACCAAGCCGACGAUCUGUAGCUGGUCUGAGAGGACGACCAGCCACACUGGGACUGAGACACGGCCCAGACUCCUACGGGAGGCAGCAGUGGGGAAUUUUGGACAAUGGACGCAAGUCUGAUCCAGCAAUGCCGCGUGCAGGACGAAGGCCUUCGGGUUGUAAACUGCUUUUGUACAGAACGAAAAGGCUCUGGUUAAUACCUGGGGCUCAUGACGGUACUGUAAGAAUAAGCACCGGCUAACUACGUGCCAGCAGCCGCGGUAAC